rnacentral:rRNA from 1 species
UGAAUACGAGAUGCUACGGCGUCGAAGCAGUGUAUGUCAGACUUCCAAGAAAAGCUCGCAAUGUCAUAAAUAAAGAAUGCCUGUACCAUAACCGACACAGGUGGGUAGGUAGAGUAUACUAAGGGGCGCGAGAUAACUCUCUCUAAGGAACUCGGCAAAAUAACUCCGUAACUUCGGGAGAAGGAGUGCCUUCUUUAAGAAGGUUGCAAUAACAAGAUCCAAGCAACUGUUUAUCAAAAACACAGGUCUCCGCUAAGUCGUAAGACGAUGUAUGGGGGCUGACGCCUGCCCAGUGCCAGAAGGUUAAAGAAGUUGGUUAGCUUUUGCGAAGCUGAUGACUGAAGCCCUGGUGAACGGCGGCCGUAACGAUAACGGUCCUAAGGUAGCGAAAUUCCUUGUCGGGUAAGUUCCGACCCGCACGAAAGGCGUAAUGAUUUGGAUACUGUCUCGGAGAGGGACUCGGUGAAAUAGACUUGUCUGUGAGGAUGCGGACUACCUGCACCAGGACAGAAAGACCCUAUGAAGCUUUACUGUAACUUGAAAUUGAAAUUGGACUUUAUUUGCGCAGUAUAGGUGGAAGGCGUUGAAAGUAAUCUUGCGGGAUUAGUGGAGCCAUCAGUGAGAUACCACUCCUAUAAUGUUAGAUUUCUAACUUUGGAUCAUGAUCUGGUCAAAGAACAGUUUCAGGCGGGCAGUUUGACUGGGGCGGUCGCCUCCCAAAUGGUAACGGAGGCGUACAAAGGUUUCCUCUGAACGGGUAGAAAUCGUAUCUAGAGUGUAAAGGCAUAAGGAAGCUUGACUGUGAGACCUACAAGUCGAGCAGGGACGAAAGUCGGUCUUAUUGAUCUGACGGUGCUGAGUGGAAAGGCCGUCACUCAACGGAUAAAAGUUACUCUAAGGAUAACAGGCUGAUCUCCCCCAAGAGUUCACAUCGACGGGGAGGUUUGGCACCUCGAUGUCGGCUCAUCGCAUCCUGGGGCGGUAGUACGUCCCAAGGGUUGGGCUGUUCGCCCAUGAAAGCGGUACGCGAGCUGGGUUCAGAACGUCUUGAGUCAGUUCGGUCCAUAUCCGGUGUAGGCGUUAGAAUAUUGAGAGGAGCCUUCUUUAGUACGAGAGGACCGAGAAGGACAUACCUCUGGUGUACCAGUUAUCGUGCCAACGGUAAACGCUGGGUAGCUAUGUAUGGAGAGGAUAACCGCUGAAAGCAUCUAAGUGGGAAGCCCACCUCAAGAUGAGUAUUCUC